CUUUCAGCGCCUGCAGGUUCCGGGAGGUCAGGUUGUAUUCCUGGCGGGUCGUCUGGCUGGGUGGGCCCCGGAGGUCGUGGCUCGGGAGCAGGGAGGCGUAGGGGGGCCGGCCUGCUGUGAUGACAUUCCAAUUAAAGCACGUGUUAGACUGCUGACGCGGGUGAUGCGAACUGGAGUCUGAGCCUGCCCGAGCGGAGCUGGGAGGGGGCUGGCGGGCGGGCGCGCGCACACCCGCUGAUCUAUCACUCUCGUUCUUGUAGCUCCCAGCCGAGGACGUCGGAUGUCAUCGUCCUUGCUGCUUUGCCACCCCAUUCCCGUCAAUAAAGUGGUUUGAACCCAACCCUGGUGUCGGUGUGUGUCGUUGGCGACGCGCUGUCUUUGAGCCCCCGCCGAGCUUCCUCGUGGCGCCGGGGGUCAAUCUGCAGCGCUAGAGCAUGUGCUUGCGCAUAACUGGGGCCGCCUGGCCUCCCGCGGGCGGCCUUUUUAACCGCGAGCGACAAGA
rnacentral:lncRNA from 1 species